GAUGAACGCUGGCGGCGUGCCUAAUACAUGCAAGUCGAGCGAAGCGGGGAGGGGGGAGUAACACGUGGAUAACCUCCUAUAAGACUGGGAUAACUUCGGGGAACCGGAGCUAAACCGGAUACUUAUCGAUGGAUCAGCGGUGCAUUAGCUAGUUGGUAAGGUAACGGCGUACCAGGGCCACGAUGCAUAGCCGACCUGAGAGGGUGAUCGGCCACACUGGAACUGAGACACGGUCCAGACUCCUACGGGAGGCAGCAGUAGGGAAUCUUCCGCAAUGGGCGCAAGCCUGAUGGAGCAACGCCGCGUGAUGGAUGAAGGUCUUCGGGUCGUAAACCUCUUUUAUUAGGGAAGCGGUACCUAAUCAGAAAGCCCCGGCUAACUACGUGCCAGCAGCCGCGGUAAUAC
rnacentral:rRNA from 1 species